GCCUUCGUGAUGUAAUGGUCAGCACAUUCGGCGCGUAUUCGAGAUUAAGCAUGAUCCUAGGUUCGAGUCCCAGCGAGGGCA
rnacentral:tRNA from 1 species